GGACAUCUUUGCAGGGCUGUACUCCAGCCUGCCACACUUCUGAAGGCACUCGGUGCUUAGUGUGUUUUGGGCUCUGUAUCCUGAGACCUCCCACAGCAUGCAGGCCUGACACUUGCCAUGGGUGUGGAGGUGUGGAAAGUGGCACCCAGGACACGUGCCUGCCCUUUGGAAUGGGGGGUGUAAGCAGAUCAUAGAAGGGGUGUACUCCCAGGAGAUCAUCCAGGUUGUACCCACAUUCGCCCACACUAAAGGUGCCCCAGAGCAUGGCGAUGACCAGGGACACAGACCCACCACCCUCCCACCUACUCUGUUUACAUCACCUGCCAGGAGGCUUCUGAAGCUGCUGCUAUUUACUCAUGUGUGUGUGUUGUAUCAAAAUUCACAUCAGAAGUACUGAACAACAAUUUUUAAUCAUUUGACAGAACAGUGUCCUCUUCUACUUGUUCACUUGUUUCAUAAAUCAUUAGAGAAGUGUUCUGUCUUGCAGUAAAAUCCAAGCCUUGUGGCCAGUGACCUCAGUCCUGCACAGUGGCAUCCCCGCAGGCUUCUCUGCUCCAUCCUGGUUUGCUUCUUCAGUUCUGCUUUUCACCUUCCCUUAUUUCCUUUGUUUCCUUCAUUUUCCUCAGAGGCUUUUUCAGCGUGUGUGUGUGUGUGUGUGUGUGUGUGUGUGUGUGUGUGUGUGUGUGUGUGUUGUGUUGUAUAAUUUGGGGCAUCUUUUAUUAAGUCUUGAAGCUUUUGAAAACCUCUUACUAUUGAUUGAGUAUUCAUGGCCCCUUUAAACAAUCAUGAAGGUAAGGAAGGCAAGAGAGGCCUUGUUCCUCCCUUGAAUUCUAUGCGGCUUCUUGCUUAAUAUUUAUAUCCCCCUGAACUCAGCAUUUUAGUAAACAUUGAGAAUAUAAUUGGAAACAGUAUUUUCAUUCUCCUUAAUUACUUGAAGCUGUUCCAGGUGCUCUGUGUUUAUUUUCUUUACUAUGUUUGUUUGUUUCAGUCCCAAGAGGAAUUACAAGAGUACUGCAGACAUCACGAAAUCACCUAUGUGGCCCUUGUCUCGGAUAAAGAAGGAAGCCAUGUCAAGGUUAAGUCUUUCGAGAAGGAAAGGCA
rnacentral:sRNA from 1 species